UAAAACCAGCACCUCAAGUGGUCAGGAGGAUUAUUGGGCCUAAAGCAUCCGUAGCCUGUUCUAUAAGUUUGCGGUUAAAUCCAUAUGCUCAACAUAUGGGCUGCCGUAAAUACUGUAGAACUAGGGAGUGGGAGAGGUAGACGGUACUCGAUAGGAAGGGGUAAAAUCCUUUGAUCUAUUGAUGACCACCUGUGGCGAAGGCGGUCUACCAGAACACGUUCGACGGUGAGGGAUGAAAGCUGGGGGAGCAAACCGGAUUAGAUACCCGGGUAGUCCCAGCUGUAAACGAUGCAGACUCGAUGAUGCAAUGGCAUAGAGCUAUUGCAGUAUCGCAGGGAAGCCGUUAGGUUUGCCGCCUGGGAAGUACGUACGCAAGUAUG
rnacentral:rRNA from 1 species